CAGGCUUAACACAUGCAAGUCGAGGGGCAUCAGGAAGAAAGCUUGCUUUCUUUGCUGGCGACCGGCGCACGGGUGAGUAACACGUAUCCAACCUGCCCUUUACUCGGGGAUAGCCUUUCGAAAGAAAGAUUAAUACCCGAUAGCAUAAUGAUUCCGCAUGGUUUCAUUAUUAAAGGAUUCCGGUAAAGGAUGGGGAUGCGUUCCAUUAGGUUGUUGGUGAGGUAAUGGCCCACCAAGCCUUCGAUGGAUAGGGGUUCUGAGAGGAAGGUCCCCCACAUUGGAACUGAGACACGGUCCAAACUCCUACGGGAGGCAGCAGUGAGGAAUAUUGGUCAAUGGGCGCUAGCCUGAACCAGCCAAGUAGCGUGAAGGAUGAAGGCUCUAUGGGUCGUAAACUUCUUUUAUAUAAGAAUAAAGUGCAGUAUGUAUACUGUUUUGUAUGUAUUAUAUGAAUAAGGAUCGGCUAACUCCGUGCCAGCAGCCGCGGUAAUACGGAGGAUCCGAGCGUUAUCCGGAUUUAUUGGGUUUAAAGGGAGCGUAGGUGGACUGGUAAGUCAGUUGUGAAAGUUUGCGGCUCAACCGUAAAAUUGCAGUUGAUACUGUCAGUCUUGAGUACAGUAGAGGUGGGCGGAAUUCGUGGUGUAGCGGUGAAAUGCUUAGAUAUCACGAAGAACUCCGAUUGCGAAGGCAGCUCACUGGACUGCAACUGACACUGAUGCUCGAAAGUGUGGGUAUCAAACAGGAUUAGAUACCCUGGUAGUCCACACAGUAAACGAUGAAUACUCGCUGUUUGCGAUAUACAGUAAGCGGCCAAGCGAAAGCAUUAAGUAUUCCACCUGGGGAGUACGCCGGCAACGGUGAAACUCAAAGGAAUUGACGGGGGCCCGCACAAGCGGAGGAACAUGUGGUUUAAUUCGAUGAUACGCGAGGAACCUUACCCGGGCUUAAAUUGCAGUGGAAUGAUGUGGAAACAUGUCAGUGAGCAAUCACCGCUGUGAAGGUGCUGCAUGGUUGUCGUCAGCUCGUGCCGUGAGGUGUUGGCUUAAGUCCCAUAACGAGCGCAACCCUUACCGUUAGUUGCUAGCAUGUAAUGAUGAGCACUCUAACGGGACUGCCGUCGUAAGAUGUGAGGAAGGUGGGGAUGACGUCAAAUCAGCACGGCCCUUACGUCCGGGGCUACACACGUGUUACAAUGGGGGGUACAGAAGGCAGCUACCUGGUGACAGGAUGCUAAUCCCAAAAGCCUCUCUCAGUUCGGAUCGAAGUCUGCAACCCGACUUCGUGAAGCUGGAUUCGCUAGUAAUCGCGCAUCAGCCAUGGCGCGGUGAAUACGUUCCCGGGCCUUGUACACACCGCCCGUCAAGCCAUGAAAGCCGGGGGUACCUGAAGUACGUAACCGCAAGGAGCGUCCUAGGGUAAAACUGGUAACUGGGGCUAAG
rnacentral:rRNA from 1 species